CAUAAGGAAUGUUAUUCAAAUCAUAAGGGAGCUUCAACCAGCACAUAAGAAACAUAUCUAAAUCACUUUCGGCCAAGAUUUUCUUGGGGAUGGAAACGUUAUCCAAGAGUUCUUCUUUGGCCAAGAAACGUUAUCCAAGAGUUUCUUAUCCAAAUCACAUAAGAAACGUUAUUUUGGGGAUGGAAAGGUUUCGGCCAAGAUUUUCUUUGAGCAACAUGAUUUCGUUAAGCUUUUCAUACAACUUGUUCCGUGUUUUGUCGCAAUUGACGUAUAUUAGAUGGAUUUCAAGAGAAUCAGAUCAGUUGGUUCGCUCGGUCACAUGCAGUCAGGCACCGAAUGACAUGUUACGCCCAGGCCAUGGUUUGGGGCGUGACACAAUCCCACAAAAUCUAGUCAUUUAGGUAUGUAUCCUAAUCAUCUUCAUCUUGCAAAUAAAGAACGCGAAGAACUCUUGGAAUUUGAUAUAAUAUAGCCAUCAAAUUCACAGUGGGCGUGUGAAGCAUUUUGUGUCAACAAAAAAGCUAAGCAAACAAGAGGAAAAUUCAGUGAUAUAUUGGAGGAACAUGUCACCAAGGUGCAUACAGUCCAGGACCACAUAUAAGUCAGGAACUGCUCAAAUUUUCAAAUACCAGCCUCACAACAAAGCAGAUCUGGUAGUUCUUGGGUGUAGUGAAUUAUGUAAGAGAUUUCAUACCAAAUAUUUCUACAUACAUUUCUCCUCUCAUAAAGAUGCUCAGAAAAAUACUCCGUCAUGGGAAAAGAACAAGAUGAAGUAGUUUAUAAAAUAAAGGAGAUAUCUAAAGAUGUCUAGUCUCUCUACAUCUCUUCAGAAGAUAAGAAAAUACUACAAACUGAUGCUAGCAAUGAAUAUUGGAGUGUUGUUCUAUUUGUAGAAAAAGAUGUCCAGAGGAAUAUAUGUGGAUAUGCCAGUAAAAAAUUCAAAGAUGCCGAGCAACAUUAUCACUCCACUUUCAAGGAAAUUCUUGUAGUAAUGAAUAGAAUAAAGAAAUUCAGUUUUUUCUUAAUUCAUACAGAAUUUCUGAUAGAAAUGGAUAUGAAGGGCUUCCCAAAGAUGUUCUAGAUAAAUGAAAAAAUUAUUCUCAAUCUUCAAAUUCUCAGAUGGGCCCAAUAGUCUUGUCCAUACAAGUUUCAAGUCAAGCACUUGAAAGGAAAGGAUAAUAUUCUCGUAAAUUUUCUGUCUCGACUAGAAGAAUUCUCAAAAAAAGUUUCCCCAAAGAGGUUGAAGUCAAACCAAAAGCUAACCUGCCACAUCUUCAUGUUUUCAAAUCAAGAACAAGUUCAUUGAAGCCAGCAGAUCAUCCACCAGAGUUGUUCAACCUCAUGGAUCCCUUCGAUCAAUCACUUAUAAUGGAAAGAAGAACUUAUUAUGAGCUCCAAGUUUUCCGGCAAUAUAUAGGAUAUAUUCUUAAGCCCUACGGGGUCAAUACAGAAUAUCCAUUCCGCUAUAUAUUCAUAGCACAAGCCAAGGAUUAUUCACUCAAACUUUUACGUUUUUUUAGUAAUUAUGACAUCAGUAUUAUAUUUUCAUGGAAUUCAAGUGCAACGUCUUCAAGGGUUUUGACAACAUUGAAACUGCCCUUAAAAUAUUUCUAUUAUGGUUCAACGAUUCCUACAAGGAAAAGGUAUUCAUAUUCCAUAUGCCAGUGAAGAUUAUUAAUGAAAAGGUCCAGGCGCAAGAAGAAGUAUCAUGCUGGUGGAAAUUUUCCAUGUCUAUUUUAUCCACGGAAGAAGAAUAUAGUGAAGCAUAAAGAAUUAUCUUCCAGCAAAAUAGGUGCAUCCCGAGAGAAAUAUGGCCAAAAGAUUGGGCGAGUUGGAAUUAUACAAGUACUCAUCCUCACUGGAAAAGGGUCCGAGAAGCAGCAAAGGAAUACCAGAUCCCAUACAAAGUCAUCCGAGGAAAAAAUAUUCAAGAUAUAUCCAGAUUAAGGUUACAUAUUACAUCUCUCAAUCCAAAGGAGAAAGAACACAACGAAGUAAGAUCGUCAAGCUCCGGGCGUUACUACACAAGAUCUUUGAAAAGAUGCCUAGAAUACAAAGUCGAAAAAUCAAUGCAAGAUAAUCAUCUAAAUCCCUCCUAAUCUCACCUUAAUCCCACAUUGCCUACCAAAUAACCCUAAAGAAAUCAUCUACCCAUACCGAGACAAAAUUCUACAUAUUUCCAUACUAUCCAGACCCCAAUUUGCCUCCAAAUGCUCUAUCACAUGGAUCACCCUACUUUCACAUGAUUUCACAUGACCCCACAUACUUCUACAUGCUUUACCAUGUAUAUUUCACAUAUUUUUAGAAGCUUGUUAGUAUGUAUUAGUCACUUUGCCUAAGGUCCUUCACAUGUCAAAUGAGACUCACUUAUAGAUAAGUUGGCCAUGUAAGAUAGAUUUAUUUUGUUAGAUAAGUUUGUCUUGUAAUAACCUCCUAGCCCUAUAUAAAAUAUGUCAUGUAGUAGUUGUAAGAUCA